rnacentral:rRNA from 1 species
GCCAGACUCCUACGGGAGGCAGCAGUGGGGAAUAUUGCGCAAUGGGGGCAACCCUGACGCAGCAACGCCGCGUGCAGGAAGAAGGUCUUCGGAUUGUAAACUGUUGUCGCAAGGGAAGAAGACAGUGACGGUACCUUGUGAGAAAGUCACGGCUAACUACGUGCCAGCAGCCGCGGUAAUACGUAGGUGACAAGCGUUAUCCGGAUUUAUUGGGUGUAAAGGGCGUGUAGGCGGGAAUGCAAGUCAGAUGUGAAAACUAUGGGCUCAACCCAUAGCCUGCAUUUGAAACUGUAUUUCUUGAGUGCUGGAGAGGCAAUCGGAAUUCCGUGUGUAGCGGUGAAAUGCGUAGAUAUACGGAGGAACACCAGUGGCGAAGGCGGAUUGCUGGACAGUAACUGACGCUGAGGCGCGAAAGCGUGGGGAGCAAACAGGAUUAGAUACCCUAGUA